AGGUGCUGCAUGGCUGUCGUCAGCUCGUGUUGUGAAAUGUUGGGUUAAGUCCCGCAACGAGCGCAACCCUUAUCCUUUGUUGCCAGCGGUCCGGCCGGGAACUCAAAGGAGACUGCCAGUGAUAAACUGGAGGAAGGUGGGGAUGACGUCAAGUCAUCAUGGCCCUUACGACCAGGGCUACACACGUGCUACAAUGGCGCAUACAAAGAGAAGCAAACUCGCGAGAGCAAGCGGACCUCAUAAAGUGCGUCGUAGUCCGGAUUGGAGUCUGCAACUCGACUCCAUGAAGUCGGAAUCGCUAGUAAUCGUGAAUCAGAAUGUCAC
rnacentral:rRNA from 1 species